rnacentral:tRNA from 1 species
GCCAAGGUAGCUCAGUGGUAGAGCAUGCGUUUCAUAAGCGCGAGAUCGUGGGUUCGAUCCCCACCCUUGGCA